GACGAACGCUGGCGGCGUGCUUAACACAUGCAAGUCGAACGGAAAGGCCCUGCUUUUGUGGAGUGCUCGAGUGGCGAACGGGUGAGUAACACGUGAGUAACCUGCCCUUGACUUUGGGAUAACUUCAGGAAACUGGGGCUAAUACCGGAUAGGAGCUCCUGCUGCAUGGUGGGGGUUGGAAAGUUUCGGCGGUUGGGGAUGGACUCGCGGCUUAUCAGCUUGUUGGUGGGGUAGUGGCUUACCAAGGCUUUGACGGGUAGCCGGCCUGAGAGGGUGACCGGCCACAUUGGGACUGAGGUACGGCCCAGACUGCUACGGGAGGCAGCAGUGGGGAAUAUUGCACAAUGGGCGGAAGCCUGAUGCAGCAACGCCGCGUGCGGGAUGACGGCCUUCGGGUUGUAAACCGCUUUCGCCUGUGACGAAGCGUGAGUGACGGUAAUGGGUAAAGAAGCACCGGCUAACUACGUG
rnacentral:rRNA from 1 species